GCCGAAGUGGCGGAAUUGGCAGACGCGUAUGGUUCAGGUCCAUAUGUCCAUUAGGACUUGAGGGUUCGAGUCCCUCCUUCGGCACCA
rnacentral:tRNA from 1 species